AAGAUNGGAGUCGAACCUACAACUGGAAGAUCAAAACUUCUCGUAAUUCCAUUUACUACUCUC
rnacentral:tRNA from 1 species